UACAGAGGUCUCAAGCGUUGUUCGGAUUCAUUGGGCGUAAAGGGUGCGUAGGUGGCGCGCUAAGUCAGGUGUGAAAUUUCGGAGCUUAACUCCGAAACUGCAUUUGAUACUGGCGUGCUUGAGGACUGGGAGAGGAGAGACUUGAAUUAUGGUGUAGCAGUAGAAAUGCGUAGAGAUCAUGAGGAAGACCAGUGGCGAAGGCGGGUCUCUGGACAGUUCCUGACACUGAGGCACGAAGGCCAGGGGAGCAAACGGG
rnacentral:rRNA from 1 species